rnacentral:rRNA from 1 species
UACGUAGGGGGCUAGCGUUGUUCGGAAUUAUUGGGCGUAAAGCGCGCGUAGGCGGCUUUGUAAGUUAGAGGUGAAAGCCCGAAGCUCAACUUCGGAAUUGCCUUUAAGACUGCAUCGCUAGAAUUGUGGAGAGGUAAGUGGAAUUCCGAGUGUAGAGGUGAAAUUCGUAGAUAUUCGGAAGAACACCAGUGGCGAAGGCGACUUACUGGACAGAUAUUGACGCUGAGGCGCGAAAGCGUGGGGAGCAAACAGG